rnacentral:lncRNA from 1 species
AGACAGGGUCUCACUUUUCACAGAUUCUUGAGGAAGGACAGAUGCCCUAACGUGACUUGAAAGUCAUGUGGAGCCUAGGGUGUGUAUCUGUGGGGGUGUCUGUUGGGAAACAGAGGUUGACUUUAAAUACAAGUAUGGCAAGAAAACAAUACAGAGUGAGAUCUGAAUGCAGCACAGGGCUGGCCAAGAGGCAGGGAGGCUGUUUCCCCUUUGUCCAGGCGUUUGAAAAAAUCAGUUCCAAACCUGUGCCAACCAGAAUCCAGUCCUGCAGACACUAUGAUUUUGUAAUUUGCUUGCAUCUGUGUUUUGCUAAAAGCUUUCAGUUUUAGAUGCCCUCAAGAACUCUUCAGGCCUGGCAGGAGAGGCACACUCUCUCUCACCGCCUUAUGUAUGCAACCUCAUGAUGGCAGAUCUCAUUUGGGAAACUGCCGGGGAUGAAGAAUAGAGUGUGUGUGUGUGUGUGUGUGUGUGUGUGUGUGUGUGUGUGUGUGUCCCUUAAAAAGAAAACUAACAACAUUUUUUCCACGUUAUUUUUUCAAAAGGGGAGUACUGUAGGCCACAGGGAAAUAGGGUAAGAUUGUAUUUUAAUGCCAGCUUGAUUCUCAAUCCCUUUUCCUUCCCCUGUUUCCCACAUGCUACCCACAGGAAGGGCACCAGUGAAGAGACAGAAAGGUGACCUCAGGGAAGAGCUGUGAAUUUUGAGGGGGCGACUGCCUUUCAUUGAACUCCUAUAACUCCUCCUUUUCAUCAUCUGCUUCUCCUCUUUUUACUUAGCAGUGAGAAAUUCCCAAAUAUUUAUGAAGUGACCCUCAGAGAAAAAAAGAGCCUCUCUUUUCCAUUGUUGCUGUGUUGAUUCUUCUAAUAUUAGGACUUUUUUCAAUUUUGAUCCUUACUUUAAGUAUAAUUAAAUUUCUUCACAAUUGUUAAAAAUGGCAUGAAUAUUCUUUUAUUUACCAGAAUAUAUCUAUGUGUACAUGUAUGUCCAUGUUCAUGUCUAUGUCCCUCAGAUCUUUAUUCUUCAUGUCUCUUUUUUAGUUCUUGAUGUAGCUUCAGCUUAUAUCCAGGAGGGCUAGUGCACUUGAUUAGUGGGAAGUCAGGAGGGCUGUAUCGCAGUCAUUCAAGAAGGUCCAGUGUUGUGAACACUUUUUCCUUUCAUGAUGGGUAUUUUUGUCAUUCUUAAAGCCUGUUAACCAAAGACUGCUCGUUGAUGUAAAAAAAAUUUGUUAAAAUAAUGCUGGACUCCAAUUUAGUGACAAUAAUGUUAGCAAUUUUGCUCUGUAACUGAUCACUAGCCCACAUCUCUGGUUACUGUGAAGAUCCGCUGGUAGAGUCAUCAGGCAUCGGUCAGAAACACGUAAGAUAGUAAAAGGCUUUUCUGUGGCUAAGAGAUUCAUCUACAUGAGUGGUAAGCCCAUCCUAUUAAUAAUCCUGUCAAACUAGAGACAAACCAAGUGAAUGUAAAUGCAUCUUAGGAAAGGCAAAGGCAGGGACAUAUUCUGCCUGUUUUACCUUUGAUGAGCUGACUUCACCAUUUUUCUAACAUGAAAAAUCCUUGCAUGUUUCUAGUUCCUAACAUCUGGAGAAUGGCAGGGGGUGUACUGUGCCGUGUUCUGCAUGUGUUAAAACCUAACGUGUUCAUCAUAAGUGGGGUGCUCGGUUAAAAUGAAUUUUAAGAAAAGUUCAAAAAAUUGGAAGACUUUAGAAGAUUCAUUUUCGAAGAGUUAACAGGAGAUUUCAAUAAAAUGCUUUAGUUCUUUCUCCAGAAAAGACAUAUCAGUUAAACUAAUGUGGUUGGUGAGAGCAGGUAGUUAUAAUCUGAUGCCCAAAAGACCACGCUCCUUGAUUCAGUCUCAACACAGACUAGUGAGCCCCACCUAGAAAAAAUGGUCUCAGAACUGCAAAUCCCAUCCCUCACCCAGGAUAGCCAUUUUACAAAAGUAUGCCACUGGUAGCAAGAAAAAUCAACAAAGAACAAUGGAUGUGCUGGCAUGAGUCCAAUACUAUUGCAAGAAUAACAAUGCAAGCACAAGCUCUACGAAGUAAUUAGUAUCAUUGUCCUAUGUGUGAAGGACAAUAGAGUAUUAUUAUCAUUUUGGUCCUGAUAUUAGUAGUUUUCUGAAGGCCUGAAAACGGAUAAGUACUUCAGACUCAUUAAAACAAAAUGGGGGUGGAGUUCUAUGGACCACAGACGUAGCACAAAAUUCAAGACCUGAACGUGAAGAUAGGCAUCAAUCUGGCUCUGGUUUCUUGCAUAAGUGACUCUCUUGACAUGCCCCAAAUUUGCCAGAUCUGCUUCUUCUAGGAUCACUAAUGUCCUGCUUCAAUGCCACCUCUCUCAUGGAGCAUUUCCCAGUCUUCCCCCUGGCAGAAGUCUAUUCCUCUUCUGAGUAGGGUUUGGGCUCUGGCAAUUGUAACUGUACACCGAACCUUUUAGCUUUAUGAGUGCACUAUCUGUCUCAUCUUUCCUGCUAGACUAUGAAUUCUUGAGAAUAGAAACUCUGCCAUAUUCAUGUAGGUAUCCUCCACACUGUCUUUUGAACAUAGGUUACACUCAAUAAAUAUUUAUUGAAAGAAUAAAUGAAUGAAUGAUGACAGAAUUCAGAGAGAGAAAUGGAGUGGUUAAGACCACAGCAUCUGAAAGUAGACUGGGCCUAACUCCUGUUUCUGCCAUAUUCCAGCUGUGUGACGUUGGACAAGUUGCUCAGCCUUGCUAUGCAUCAGUUCCUUGAGAUAUAAAAUGUCACUUCUUGACAUUUAGUAAGUGUGCAAAAAAAGCCAACUAUUAAUAUCUAGCAAGCUAAGCAGCUGGGUGAAAAUGGACUGCUAGCAAAUCAGUGUGUGUGGAUUGGUGUCAUCUGUUCUAAGGGUCAGGAAGCCCUUCUCCUGGGUUCGAAGCAGAGUGUCUCGACCUUUUGUCAGGGACAGCAGGGAACACAAGCCCUUGCCCUACUUCUAGAUCUGUGUGGAGGCCAUUUCUGCUAUUUCUCCUUUCCUGUGUGGAGAAAUCUGUUUUCUCUGUGAAAGAAACACAAGAAUAGAUUGGUACGACCUCUCCUGAAUGUAUAUCGCUCCCCAUCGCUUUGUGCAGGGGUGGAGUCUGGAAUGCCCAAUCUCUCUGUUCCUUCCUCCCUCUCCCACUCUGACAGGCUGUGGGAGGAAUAAAGGGCUUUGUGCCAAACCUUUCAUUCGGGGACUCUAUUUUUCCUUUCUUUUUAUGCCAAAGGCAAAUAGUUGAGUU